CACGGGGGGAGCAAGCGUUGUUCGGAAUCACUGGGCGUAAAGGGCGUGUAGGCGGUCAGGUAAGUGGAAUGUGGAAGCCCUCGGCUCACCCGAGGAUCUGCAUUCCAAACUGCCUGGCUUGAGUAUGGGAGAGGAUGAGGGAAUUCCUGGUGUAGCGGUGAAAUGCGUAGAUAUCAGGAGGAACACCGGUGGCGAAGGCGCUCAUCUGGCCCAAUACUGACGCUGAGUGAGCGAAAGCCAGGGGAGCAAACGGG
rnacentral:rRNA from 1 species